rnacentral:tRNA from 3 species
GGGGACAUAGCUCAGCUGGGAGAGCGCUGCGUUCGCAACGCAGAGGUCGCGGGUUCGAAUCCCGUUGUCUCCA